rnacentral:rRNA from 1 species
UACGUAGGGGGCAAGCGUUGUCCGGAAUCAUUGGGCGUAAAGAGCGUGUAGGCGGCCAGAAAAGUCCGCUGUGAAAACUCGAGGCUCAACUUCGAGCUGUCGGUGGAAACUUUCUGGCUAGAGUCCGGAAGAGGAGAAUGGAAUUCCUGGUGUAGCGGUGAAAUGCGCAGAUAUCAGGAGGAACACCGGUGGCGAAGGCGGAUCUCUGGGCCAUUACUGACGCUGAGGAGCGAAAGCGUGGGGAGCAAACAGG